GUCCUUCUCUCAGACUCACUCUCCUUCUCUCGUUCCAACGAAACACACUCCUCACCGGAAAUCGCUCCGCCGUGCCGGGGGCGGCGGAGCUUGGCCAAACCGUGAAAAAAAACAUCCCAAUCGAACCCCUUCUUCGCCCUCUAACACAAUCUCUUAUCGACUUCCUCAGAUUUUCUCUAUAUCUAGCCUAACAUCAAAACCCUAAAAGUUCUCAAUCUGAAUUAAACAAUGAAGAUGAAGCUAUAGGCUCUGAGACCUUAGGGUUAUCGCUCACAGAUACUCGUUCUACGCAAUGCUAGCAAGAACAUGCUGAAGAAGUGAAAGAGAUCGAAGGUUCCGUGACUUACCUGGCGUGUAAAAUGGCAACGACCGUUGAAGAGAGCCAGAGGGGAGAUAAUAAGCUUCCGAGGGCGAUGAGAUACGCGAAAUAAACGCGGGGAAGGAGAAAGAGCUUCUUGUUUCAGAUCCGAGCAUGGUCUUGACAAGCCGGUGUCACAGUAUGUGGAGCAUAAUCGAACAUGGAGCUGUUUGGUAAGUGUCUUCACAACAAGUUACGGGAAUUGCUUGACGCCACCUGAUGCGAGUUUGGCUUUUUGGUCUGGUAUAGAUGUAUGGAUUGUCAUAGUCUAAAUUUGAUGAACCUUAGUAAUGAUGAACAUGUUUUAGUGACUGUAUUAAUGUAACUGCAGUAGGCUGUUAGGGAGUUCUGAUUCAAUUAUUUUCCUCUUUCUGCUCCACUCGAUAUUCAGUUUAAGCAUUAGCUCUUCUGCCACACAUUUAGGCAAACUGGUUUAUUUUGAUUCACUGAUGUGAUUUGGUUUAUAGGCUGACUUUGGUUUGGCCUUGUGUAUUGAAUGAGCAGGGACUGUUAGCAACAGGCCAAGUGCAAGAUCCUCAGCAGUUACUUGUCAAGUGCUUCUUCUUUUUUUUCCUUCUGAAAUUAUGCUGUAGUAUCAAAUGGACCUGGUUUGAAUGUUGACUGUGUGCAGGCAGUGUUGGCUUGUAUUUGCGUAUGCUACCGGGUUUAAUUUCUUUUCUUUUUUUUUGAACUGAUGCAAAGAUGUUUUGGUAUGCUGCAGGGCUGAAUCUUGGUUUGUUAAAGCUUUGUACAAAUACACUUAGCACGACAUGAGGUUGCAUACGGAAUAUGGGCAGUUCGGAGAAGAAGCGAAGGCGUGUUGUAAUGAAAAUGAAUGAUCAUGAAAAGGAAACUGAAGCCAUAUAGUCAGCAGUGUGUUUUUAGGGAGAAAAGUCUAGGAUCCAUUUUAGUAAAACAAUGUUGAUUUUGAUGAAACUUUGUAAUUUUUCUUUUGUAAUUUUCUUGAUGAUGAUGACUUGUAUCAUGAACACGGGUCAGAUUUGAAUGAGACAAGAUUUCAUCCUCUUUGA